UCGUUAAUAAAAAACACGAUCAUGCAGUCUUGAUUUUACAUAUAGUAGACAUAAAAUCUGAAAGAUAAAACUUCCAAUUUGUGUAAUGAUUAAGCCGAAGUGAUGAUUAGGGGAGAUUAGGGCUGUGCAUUAUGUAUAUAAUAAAUGCAUGUAUGGUACUAAGAGUCCUUAAAAUGACACUUGUAGCCUCCGAUGAGGCCCUUCCUGAUUUUUGUUCGAUGUGAUUUUUCCACCGUUGUGAUCACCGUUUCCUUCUCUACAAGUUGACCGAAGCAAAACACCCAACCGCAGCGUGAGCCGGAGGAACCGCCGCACCGGAGAGCCCCGCCGCCGGUGAGUUUUGAUUUUUUACAUUUUUUCGACCAACCAAGGGCCCUAAGUGUGUUUUCUCAUAGGAACUGAUGUAAAUUUGGCUGAAUUCAGCCUAAAACAGCCAAAACUAGCCAACUCGAGAUGGAUUGCCGCCGUCGUCGUCGGAGCACGGUGUAGCCGUCGUGCCAGAUUUUUAAAAUUGGCCGAGUAGGCCCUGGGAUUGAUUUUUGGGUUAUUUGUGACAUUUGUAGGUACCGUAAGCGC
rnacentral:lncRNA from 1 species